AUGUGUGUGAUGGGUCCAGGGCGUCCUCCAGUGGGCCUCAUGAUCCAGAAACUUGCUUGGGAGCGUGUGAGUGCCAGAGGGGCCCCCUGCUGGAAGGAGCGCUUGUGCACAGCAGGGGUCCUCAGACGGCUCAGGUCUCUCCUUUGCUGUUGCCAGGGGCUCCUUUCUGAUUUCGUCUCCAUCCAGCGCCACGGAGAAGGAAGAACGCGCCACAAGCAGACAUGCUGUCGAGGCCUGUGGUGCAGGCGGCUUCGUCGCCAGCUGCCUUUUCCUGCUGGCUUGUUAGUGGAGGCCGUUGCAGCACCUGGGGACUUGCCCGGAGCUCUAGGGUAUACCUUGGGGAGAGCACACAUCAGCCUGUCUGACCAGUCACCGUUCUGCUUGGGGCAGGUGUCAAAUACUGUGUCUGGAGAUGCCCAAGAGGCUCAAGGGAGUAAUGCUGGGGUUUGGGUGCUGUCCCAAGGGGAAAUCCCACAAGGUUCCAGGGUCUGGGGAAACGAAGCGUGCAUGGCUGGAUCUGGAUCUCUCUACAGUUAGGUUGGGUUGGGUUGCAGGGGACCUUGGGUGGCCUUCAGACCUCGGAGACCUCACAUCCCCGAUCUCCAAGGACCUGCUCUUGGACCCUCCACAGCUCAUCUGCAUGGUCAGUGUUUGUCACUCUUCUGCACUUACCCUCAGUGGGCUCCUCUGUCAGCUGGAAGACUGUGGGGGACAUGGACCAAGUCUACUCCAUCCUGCUCACCCACAGUGCCUUGUCUGUCUGCUGCCAGGCACGCAUGUUGGUUGAGCUGCAACCGCAGUUGGGCCACCUGCCCUAGCUUUGCAGUCAUGGCUCCAUAACCUGUCCUGUGGCUGCCUGUGGAGGAAGAAGAAGAAAAAUGAAUCCUAGUGACUUGGUGGGUUGAAGAGGUUCCAGAUCUCUCGCUCACGUCAAGCUUGGGCUGUGUGGACUGGAUAAUGCACGCUGCCAGCGAGCCUGGGCUUGCCCAGGACUGGGAGCAGGGGAGAAGGGAGAGCAAUGUUGUCACUUUAAUUGCAUUGGCAUAAAUAUUUGAUAUUCAAUAAAUUAGAUCUGGAGCAAGGAAAACA
rnacentral:lncRNA from 1 species